AUUGAACGCUGGCGGCAGGCCUAACACAUGCAAGUCGAGCGAGCGGCGGACGGGUGAGUAAUGCCUGGGAAUUGCCCAGUCGAGGGGGAUCACCUUUGGAAACGACUGCUAAUCCCGCAUACGUUUGGCUUGCACAGCUGGGAUUCGCUAGUUGGUGAGGUAAUGGCUCACCAAGGCGACUAUCCCUAGCUGGUGUGAGAGGAUGAUCAGCCACACUGGAACUGAGACACGGUCCAGACUCCUACGGGAGGCAGCAGUGGGGAAUAUUGCACAAUGGGGGAAACCCUGAUGCAGCCAUGCCGCGUGUGUGAAGAAGGCCUUCGGGUUGUAAAGUACUUUCAGCGAGGAGGCGGUACUCGCAGAAGAAGCACCGGCUAACUCCGUGCCAGCAGCCGCGGUAAUUC
rnacentral:rRNA from 1 species